GAAGAGGGAAAAAAAACAACAACGAUCAAUGCAGGAGUACACACAUCCUCACUGAGCUGUUGUGGUUUAUUAAUAAAUGACAUUUCAGGCAGAAACCAACUGGGUGGGGGGUGGGGCAGCAUUAUACAAUUUUUUAUUUAUAACGGGUAAGAAACAGGUUAGAAAAAAAAAACAAUCACACUGCACUGCAGUACAAUAAUCUGUGAGACAUCAUGUUAUCUGUGUAAAUGACAUAGAAAACCAUUAUCACUAAAAGGCUAAAGCAGGAAUGAUAUAUGUAGUCUCUGCACUGUGGUGUCAGUUUAUAUGUGAAUUUUCACUGUUACUGAACUUUAAUAUCUCCAUUUAUCUCUAGUGCAGUCACUUAUUUCCCAGCUCUCAGUUCCUCUGCAUUUACUGCAAAUCAGUAAACGUGGCAUUCAUUUGAUUGGUGUCACACACAAAAAAACAAAAGUCAUCAGUAACGUCACAUUGUGCCUUCAGGUUUUAUGAUUUUUCAAAUUGGGUUCCAGUGCAUCAGUAACUGAAUUACAGGAGAAUUUCAACAUUGCUUUAUCACCCUGUCAUAAUGCAAAACUGUAUAAUAACCAUAUAACGUAUAACCAACUGCAAGCAAGGACAAACUGUCCUGGCAUUAGAAGCAGACAUAAAAAGUUAAUAAAUCAUUCAGUUAAACAGCAGAUAAUAUAUUACUGUAAUACUGUUAGUUAACAGUUUUGAUCAUUUCAAGGCAACAGCCACAGAAAGCACCACUCCCCCCUGUCACGUGUAAAUCUGUGCUUCUUUUCUUUGAAUCCUGCUAGCUUGAAAACACAACAUCACUACUUUCUAAUGUUCUACACUUAAUGACUGAAUAUAGUAAAGAACAAAAAAACAAACUGCGGUUUAGUCUGCUGAGACAGUGACACGAUUUGAGUUGUGACACUAUAACUUGUGUUUUAUUAACACUACUUCCAGUGUUUCCACAAGUGUCUAAUGAUUUCUUCUACAAAACUCUGCCAAAGGAGGGCCAGAGAGGGGCUUUCCCUCUCAUAUUAUUACUGAACUCGUGUACCCAGUUCACUGUACACCAGUGCAGCUGUGGUGCAGAAAAAUGUAGCUGCACAUGCCAGUUAUAGUUAAAAAAUAAUAAAAAAUAAGCCCUAUUCCAUAAAUGUACAUACAAAGUAGCCUUUAACAGUGCUUAAAGGCAGUUAUUCCUCCAAGAGAGGCAGAUUGUUUUACAUAACUGAAAGGGAAUUUAGGGGAAUCCCAGCCACCCUCUGCUUCCUGCCGAGGGUCCUAAUGAUAACAUAACGGCCUGCUGUUUAGGUCCACUUCCUGUUUCAUCUCUAGAAUGGCCUCCAGUUUUAUUUAGCAGACCAAAUAAACUUGGUUAGGUUGCUGAUCUUGUUUUGUGGACACGUACAAAAAAAGCAUACAAGUGCACAUGAUGUUCUCAUUUUGAGCUCCAAGUGUUUAUUACUACAUGAUUCACAGUUCAAAAUUAUCGUUAUUCAUCUUAUACCAGGCCUUUCAGUUCUUCCGCUGUCUGAAAAGAACAAUCUCCAUUUCCCUUUAUGGCAACUUGCUUCUGAUAGGUUGCCCCUCACAAACUAAAGAUUUAAACAGUAGAUUAAAAUAAAAAUCAAAGUAUCCAUAAUCGCCGUAGACUAGAGUUAUCAGCAUGCAUAUAACUAGGAUAUAGGGUCUUUUUUAGUUAUUGUUACUGUCUUAAAAGUUUUACUUAAAUACCCCACUUGAACCUGUAAAAGCAUUUACAGGUGCUAAUAAAAACUGUUUGCUACAAAUAUACCUUUAUAUAAAAGACACACACAGUCUCCCUGACUUUAUUAUACUCCUGAGCUCUGACCCUCCUCUGUGCCAGCACUGUUAUUGUUUUAUUGCCACAAGAGCUGUUUCAGUGGCCACCCAGAACGUGCACACUGACACUCACACACACACACACACACACACACACACACACACACACACUACACCCAUGUGCCAACCAGCUUGCAGUUACCAGGCCAUGUAAACAACAUGUUUGGCAGAUCAAAAAUAGAAAGCCUUUAUCAUCCUCGCUAACGCAGCUUCUCGCGCACUGCUUCAUGACCUGCUUCCUCCACAGUGUCCCUGCCUCAGUUUAUGACCGGAAAAACAACAACCUACUGUUCCUCGGGAGAAGCAGAGGUGGAGCCCUGUUUAGGCAGGAGCGUCGCCACCUAAAAAUAAGAGCCAGGGCUGGGAGGGCAGGGCGAGCAUCUGCUUGACUAAAUAACCCUAAAUCAUCGGGCCUGAACAAUGGAAGAAAACAGCUUGGCAACACAGAGGAGCGGCGUUAUAUAACACCGAAUUUAUUUAAGUAUGACUGAGCUGGGAUGGGCAUCUCGAGGAAAAUUACUGUUUGAUAUAUGCUAGGAACUAUCUGACCAUUCUUCAAAUUAACCAGCUUCAUAAAAACAUCUUUCGUUCCCUUUUUCAUUCUUCACGGUGUUACUGGAACUUUGAAUACAAACUUCCAAUUUUCCCAUAAACAUCCUCCAAGCCUUUUUUCCCCCCUUAACACUUAAACAAAAUAUCCAACAUUUUCGGCUCUUUCAUAUUUAACUGGAAGUUGUUUUACAAGUUUCCCAGAAUGGAGAGUCACAGGCUCCAUGAAUCAGCUAUGAGGAAUAACAGCUGCAGUGACACAUGGAUAUUGGACAAAACAAAAUUGCUAACAAGACAAAUGUGGGGGAAAAAAAAAUGUUUUCCUUGCUGAUGACCAGAACUCAGGGCAACUUGUGGUAUCUAAUCAGCCCUGAGCUCCACCACCCAGGAUGUGCAGACUGUGACACAUAGUCUUGGCACACAAACAGCCAUCAUAGGGAAAAGUCAAAGAAAACAGUGACAGGAACACCAUUAUUCCCCUUGGGACUGUAAUCAAACCACCUUGCCCCCUAAGAGUGCUGCGGCUUGCAGGUUAGUCCUGCUAAUGUGCAGGUUCCAAGCCGGGCCGGGCCAACCUGAGCCAGAGGUUCUCUGAGAGGCAAACCGUUAUGAAAGGUGAGCGCGUCCACUGUGCCGACAGGAAACGCUGGCUCAUGUCUCUGAGGCCGCUUCCUGCAGUAAAGAGACACCCUGGAAUGCUGAAGUGACCUCUGUGAUCCUUCCUGUGCUGCCGGGAUUUCUUAAGCCUCACGGUGAGUGUGUGAACUCAGGUAAAAAACAAUGCCUCCUUUUCAUUCGGCUCAGGAAUGAAAAAUGAGGAUUAAAAUGCUGACACGUGACCUUUGUGCUUGUCUGCUGAGACCUUUGCAACUGACUCACUCAUCCAUAAGCACACACAUAAGCAGGUACAAAUAUACACCUGCAGUUAGCAAUGCGACAAUACAUUUCACCAGCUUUAAACAGAAAGACUCGAACAUCGCGCGUCGUCCUUGCAGGAGACCUUGGACAGAGCCGGGGACGUAGACGAUAUCGACCCACAGGCAUGGGGAUCUGCUUCAAAAUCACAGCAGCUGUCUUCUCUGCCAGGAUGUCUCAGUGUGGAUCUGACAGAUUAUUAAACACCUUCACACUGACAAAAGCUUCAGCAGCGCCCAGACCUGUCAGUGUCACUACUGCUACAGUGGAACACACAAUCACGCAUCUAUAUACACACACAGAAGUCUUCCAUACCAAAUUUGGGAUAUACCACAUGAUAUUAGCACAGCUAGGCUUUGUUUUGUCUCCAGACAACAAGUGUUAUGCUUUAUGUGCAGAGCAUUAGAGUGGGGAGAAAAAAAGAAAACAUCAGACCUGCCACCUGCAGAGGUAAACUCUCACACAUCCUACAGAGAUUAAAGGCAUGGCUCGGGUGAAGUGUACCGAGGCAACAGGUUAAUGUGUGUUUUCUCUUCAUGUGUAUUAAGUAGCAGAUUAACUCAAGGACAGACUAACACUGCAAGACCUGCUGAGACCGGCGUCUUCAGGCCAGGGUUCAAAUCCAGCUGGUCCUUGAACAAGCAACGGGCACACACUUAAGUAAGCAUGUCCUAAAUUCAAAAUGCAACAAAAGGUGAAUAAAUGUAACAAAAAAAAAAAAAUCCAUACACCUCUGAUUUCCAUGAAUAUGGUUAUAAACUGAUCUAUACAACCUUUUAGGCCUUUUGACCUGUGGCUCAUAUAACGUACAUCUGCAGAGAUCCCAUUAAAGGGGAAUUUUUUUCCUUCCCACUGUUGCCAAAUGCAGUGGAGUCGUCUGAUUGUUGGGUUUUCUCUGUAUUAUUGUAGGGUCUCACCUUACAAACUUAAAUACCUUGUGAUAGGUGAUUGUUGUUGUGGUUUGGCACUAUAUAACUAAAACUAUUUACCAUUACCUUAUUAUCUGCCACCUCUGCUGUUGUGGAACUUACCCACAGAUUUCAUUCAUCCAUAGACAGGGGUUGUUUUUUUGGUUUGGUUUUGUAUUUUUGUCUCUCUAACAAGAGAAAAACAGUUAUUUGAUUCAAUUUAAAAUCUUAUAAUUUAUAUUUUGUGAGUCUACCCAUGCAUUUCUUUGCAUUUCUUGGUGAUUAUUAAAAUGAAAGUUAAUUAAGAUGAGAUGCAAGUAUAACUGCACAGGUUAACACAGUCACCUGACAUACAAACAAAAAAUAAAAAAAUCCCCUGGUUUGAAACUGUGACGAAACAAAACCCAAUGUACUCCCAAUGCCGGUUCCAAGCCCGGAUAAACAGGAGUGUUCCAUCAUAAAGGGCAUGCAGUACCAAAUCAAAUGUGUGGAUCAGUUCUUGCGCUAACCCCUUGGAAAAUAAGGGAGCGGCCGAAAGUGUCUUUUCUUUGUGAAGGAGCUGCUUGCACAUGUGCAAACAGCUUGCACAAUUGCUCUUGUGCUUUUCAGGCAACAGUCAUUGUACAACAAUUUAACAUUUAAGUGAGACCGCACAGGGGGUGCAUGUAGUCAUACGCAUGUUGACAUAAAAUGUGUCUGCAUGGGAGGUUUGCAGUUGUGUCAUGCGCAUUUAAGUAAAGUAGGAUGGGAACCAUGCGAGUAUUAGAUUGGCUCAGUUAGGGAUAGUAAUAGUUAUUUGAUAUCUAAGAAUAUGAGAUACUUCACUUAGUUCUGUGAGGUAAACUUGCUAAGAUAAAUGAAACUACUUGAAUGGGUUAACAAUCUAGAAAAAAAAAAGAGUAAAAUACUAGCUUAUAUUCCUGGAAGUCGAAUCUGUUCAGACAGCCAAUGUUUCGAAACAGAAGCACAUGUUACUGCUGCAUUAAAGCGACAACCUUCAAGACAGCAGACUGUGUGUAUAAGUGAAAGUAGCAGCAUAAGAAGUGCUACAGCACAGAGGUCUGGCUAUUGGUAGCAGAUAUACAGAUGGAGAGACGGGGAGGAAUAACAGACAGCGAGAAGCCGUUUGUGUUCAAAACAGAGCCAACAGAAAGAGGUUACCAUGGGGACGGUUGUUAUGAGGAAGCAGUACAGAUCUCCCGUUGAUGGGACGGGACUGAGGCAGACUCUGUGGUCACAGCAGCCCGGCCUCGUCCACUCUCGCUCUCUUCAAGACUGUUUGAGGAGAAACGUACGGCUUACUGGCAGCGACCGCUCGAAAGACGCCUGGGCUGAGCCUGCGCUGGAGCUACGUAAACCUCAUUUCGUGUAUGUGUGUGUCCACAAACACAGAUGAGCUGAAGUUAUUUCCAGUCUAACCAAAGACAUUCCUCAGAAAUAUCAAGCGUGUGCGUGUGUCUGAGUGCCAUGCAGGCAGGCUGAAAGCUAGGACGUGCUUAUCCUGUUUCAAAGCUGUGCUCAGGGUCUGGUUACAUUUUGCAAGUGGCGACCCUAACCGACCACCUCCAUGUAACGUUAACCUUUACACUUACACACACAGAGCCCGUUUCAGCCUCUCUGGAUUUUUCCGCCCAGCUGAGUGAUUUUAAGCCAAAUUCUGCAACGGAUGAAACGUCAUCCGUUUGUUUCCAUUAAUCUAACCGAGGCAAACAAACGCUCCUUUGAUGAGACAAUGUCUCAUAUUCACGUACAGCAAAUAAUACUCGUCUAUUUCAUUCAAACAUGAACAUACAUGUACAGAGAUAUUUAAAAAUGGAAGAAGAAACCAAAUUAAAGCCUGUGCAAACACACCGCCCGACAGCAACACAUGACAUGUAAUCCUAGUUUCUUUUUCUCCAUCAUUUUCCACUGAAGUGAAUAUUAGUGUAAGCUUAUGACAUAUCCGUUUUCUCUCACCUCUUUUUCUCUCACUUCCUUCUUCCCGUCUCCCUUCUGUCUACGACCUGUUGCAUACACUUCACGCAUUCUAUGUCAGCUCUCGCAGCAAACUCAGCUGUGAGAUCUGAGAGACACACGAAUAGUGAGAGCUGACGUGCAAAUCCUCUCUGCUCAAAUACUCUUUGCCGUAUAUACAUGUGAACGCACAGUUCUACCCUAAAAACAAACUCAUUGUGAGUGCAUCACGUCAGAAAAUGAGUUUUUAAAAUCAGCUUUUUGUUUCAGAUAACCUCUUACAUUUUUAGAUAAUUAGGAUUUAUAAAUGUAUCUGUUACACAUUAAUACUUACAGCAAGUGUUCGGUUGCAUAGUCAAAAAAUGUUAUAUCACUUCAAGUCUGUCAGCUUUCAAAAUAGCCCUCAACCUUAUCUUAAUGAGGGCAAUGAAGUGGAUUAUGAUUCCUAUGGUACAGCCUAAACUGUACCCUCUGAAAGGGUGAGAAGCUCAGACAGUUGGAGUUAGCUUGAAGUGGAGUCACUGCUCCUUUGUAGCAUGAAAAGAAGUCAAAUUAAGUGAUUCAGACAUCUACUUGUAAUGGCUCCUGGGAGUGGGAGGGGGCACUAGGGUAGACUGGAGACUCGAUCUCCAGUGAGUCUCUUUUUGCAAGCCACACUGAGCUGAAGGGCCACUGAAUGGCGGUGUAGCGCUGGUUCAUGUGUGGCUGCACCAAAGAAAAACAGCACAAGGACUAAGAUGGUGGAGUUCAUCUGCAUGCUGAGAAACUCACUGGAGAGACAGCUGACUCCACUAAAGUGUAAUUUAGCUGUCACCAAGUGUUUGGCUUAAACUUGCAGAGGAGCACCUUAAACUGUAUUGUUUAUCAAUUCAUUUAACAAUGCACACAUGCAUGUCUGCAUGUCUGCAUACCGUACUGUAAUAGCACCUAAUCUUUAGGAAACACCGAGUCAAAAUGUAUCUACAAACGUUGACACAAAGGUACGCUAAAUUUAACUUCCUUUACAAAUGAUCCCAAACACUUGUGUAGGAUUCCUUGGAUCAUUUUGACAUUCCCUUCCUUGCAACAGGCUAUUCCUGCAUGCUCUUACCAGACUCAUGUUUAGGAGCAUCUUAUUCAGGGUUCAUGGGUUUGGCUGUUUGUCUUCAAACAAGAAGGUGCUUAGCCUUAAUUCAACUGUUUCACAGCUUCCAGUUACAGAUCUUAAAUGGGCUCUUCUGGAUCUGCAGAAAAGAAAACAGCAGGAUGUGCAUGAGUGCUCUAAGGUGCUGGAUGUGUGGGAAGAUGUGCGAUUCCCAGCAACACCAGGAAAAAAAUGCCGCUUUAAACUACGCAGAUCUGUGUCCGCUCGGGAGGAACACUGCAGCAGUGUGAGAGACCUCGCACACUACUGCAAAAGAGGAUGGAUAUUAAUCUCUGACAUGAAGUAUUUAUAACUUGAAAGCCAAGAACAACAACAUGACACGAAAUGCCUCCUUAAUUUAUUAAACUGCUGGCAGAGUGUGGAGACUGGGAGCUGGAAUUAGUGUUGACUAUAGCAUGUUUUUAAAACACGGGGUAACCUCAACAUGAUGACAGUUUAACAAAACUAUGUCCAAUUUAAAACAACAAAAAAAAAAACAACAACAGCAAAAAAUAAAAAAAAUAAAAUCACUGUUUUUAAGUUAAUUUAAUUACUGAUGUUCGACACCAGAUUUACUUGUAAUUUGACAUUGUAAACCAUAAACACAAACAGAUGGAUCAACAUAAAUCUUCCCCAUUUGUGGACCACAAAGAAGAGAAAUUAUAAAGAGGAAGAAAUGACUAAAAGGCUAAUGGCAGAAGAAGGAGGAGCUCUGGCAAGACAAAGCUGAAACAAAA